GACGAAUGCUGGCUGCGUGCUUAACACAUGCAAGUCGAACGGUGAAAGGGAGCUUGCUCCCUGGAUCAGUGGCGAACGGGUGAGUAACACGUGGGCAACCUGCCCCUCACUCUGGGAUAACUCCGGGAAACCGGGGCUAAUACCGGAUACGACCUGGUGCGACAUCGCACCGGGUGGAAAGAACUUCGGUGAGGGAUGGGCCCGCGGCCUAUCAGCUUGUUGGUGGGGUAACGGCCCACCAAGGCGACGACGGGUAGCCGGCCUGAGAGGGCGACCGGCCACACUGGGACUGAGACACGGCCCAGACUCCUACGGGAGGCAGCAGUGGGGAAUAUUGCGCAAUGGGCGAAAGCCUGACGCAGCAACGCCGCGUGAGUGAUGAAGGCCUUCGGGUCGUAAAGCUCUGUCAGAAGGAAAGAAUAUCUUCAGGGAACAAUACCCCUGUUGAAUGACGGUACCUUCAGAGGAAGCACCGGCUAACUC
rnacentral:rRNA from 1 species